GACGAACGCUGGCGGCGUGCUUAACACAUGCAAGUCGAACGGUAAGGCCCUUCGGGGUACACGAGUGGCGAACGGGUGAGUAACACGUGGGUGAUCUGCCCUGCACUUCGGGAUAAGCCUGGGAAACUGGGUCUAAUACCGGAUAGGACCACUGCCUGCAUGGGUGGUGGUGGAAAGCUUUUGCGGUGUGGGAUGGGCCCGCGGCCUAUCAGCUUGUUGGUGGGGUGAUGGCCUACCAAGGCGACGACGGGUAGCCGGCCUGAGAGGGUGACCGGCCACGCGGGGACUGGGAUACGGCCCAGACUCCUACGGGAGGCAGCAGUGGGGAAUAUUGCACAAUGGGCGCAAGCCUGAUGCAGCGACGCCGCGUGAGGGAUGACGGCCUUCGGGUUGUAAACCUCUUUCAGCACCGACGAAGCGCAAGUGACGGUAGGUGCAGAAGAAGGACCGGCCAACUACGUGCCAGCCGCCGCCGUAA
rnacentral:rRNA from 1 species